UAUGUGAUCGUCUCUCGCAUAUCAAUAAGCGGAGGAAAAGAAACUAACAAGGAUUCCCCUAGUAACGGCGAGUGAAGCGGGAAGAGCUCAAAUUUGAGAUCUUAAAGGGUUUCCCUUUACGAAUUGUAGUUUAAAGAAGUGUUUUCUGUUGAGGUUUUGGUAAAAGUUCUUUGGAAUAGGACAUCAUAGAGGGUGAGAAUCCCGUAUUUGACCUUUACUUUCAACUUUGUGAUACACUUUCAAAGAGUCGGAUUGUUUGGGAAUGCAGUCCAAAAUGGGUGGUAAAUUUCAUCUAAAGCUAAAUAUUGGCGAGAGACCGAUAGCGAACAAGUACCGUGAGGGAAAGAUGAAAAGAACUUUGAAAAGAGAGUUAAACAGUACGUGAAAUUGUCAAAAGGGAAGCGUUUGACACCAGUGUUGUUUUUCUGAAAAUCAAUUAAAGAACUGUUUAUGCUAAGUUGUUUAGACUUUAUCAGCUAACUGUUUAGUUUUGAGCUUUUCUUUAAUGCACUUUUCAGUUAACAAGUCAACAUCAAUUUCUUUUGCUGUAAAAAAGCUUGAGGAAGGUGGCUUGAGAUUCGUCUUAAGUGUUUAUAGCCUCUUGCCUAUGCAGUCGGAGAGAUUGAGGUCUGCAGGCGUAGAUCCUUCGGGGCUAAAUGCAUUUGUGCUAAGUUAUAGCAUUUUAUAGACAACUUGUUGACUAUGAUUUGUCUUGUAGCUUACUCGCUUAUGUUAUUUUACCUACGCUUAGGAUGUUGAUAUCGCGCUCUCACUG
rnacentral:rRNA from 1 species